rnacentral:rRNA from 1 species
GACAGAGGCCCCGAGCGUUAGGCGGAAUCACUGGGCUUAAAGCGUGUGUAGGCGGGCCCGUAAGUGUCUUGUGAAAUCCCACGGCUCAACCGUGGAACUGCUGGGCAUACUGCGGGUCUUGGGCCAACUAGGAGCAGCCGGAACAAGCGGUGGAGCGGUGAAAUGCGUAGAUAUCGCUUGGAACGCCGAAGGUGAAAACAGGCUGCUGGGGUUGCGCCGACGCUGAGACACGAAAGCCAGGGGAGCAAACGGG